rnacentral:lncRNA from 12 species
GGAUCAUGAGGACAAACCUAAAUAAAACGUUUGUAAAAACUCUGUAAAAUGUAUUAUGCAUCAUAAGCUGCAGCAGUGUGCAUUUAUUUUAUUUAUUUAUUUAUUUAUUUAUUUUUGUGUUGGGAAUGAGCUUGUUUUGUUUUUUUUUGUUUUUUUUUUCAGCCCCAGCAAUAAGUAGCUAAAGUGCUCUCUUUUACGAAUAUCCUUAAAUCCUGACGAAUCGCAUUUUUAGGGAGAGUAUAACCGGGUUAAUUAAAAUUAUUGAGCGUAAUGCUCUUCAGAGCCGUGCAGCAGGGGCGACGGGGGCAGACUUUUGUGCUGAUGUCGGAGUGAAGUCUGCAGAGCGUUUUUCGGUGAUGCUGCCGCCGGGUCCGUUCUUCAAGUUCGUUUCCAAGGAGGAGAGACGCCUCGCGCCAGGACUCCGCCCCCUUCUCCUGAAUGCGCGAGCAGCUGCUUUCAAACCCAACUGCUCAAUUCCAUUCAUCCUCGAGAGGGAACAAAAAAGUGGCUAUUUAUUAGAAUACUUGUUUUGUAUUGUUCCGCGUCACACAAAAGAGGCUUUAUUAUUGUGUAGUGAGUGGUGGGACUGGGAGCUGGGUAUGACUGGCCUUGGCACACUAAGUGUAGAUUUUAGCAAGGAUGGCGGUCUGGCGAGUGGCUUUGGCUGGUUUAGGACAGCGAUAGAACCGGUAAGGACGAUUUUACAUCACUGCAGAUGAAGGACAGUGCAACAGAGGUCUGUGUAAGGAUGAUUGUGAGAGACUCUGCUGGAAUUUGGCAGGCCCGCUGCUUGGAGAGGCGCCCCACGCUGUGACUCCCAUUCAGCGGUCCAGCGCGCUGUGAGGUUGGGAAGUUUCACUGAGCCGUGCACUCAAUGGCUCCACAAAGCUGAUUACAAGCCCCAGCGAAUUCCUGAAGAGACCGGGCAGCCACGCAGGUGUGCGGGAAACCGGGGCAACCCUUCAGAGUUAUAGUGACAGAGCAACACAACCCGGGAGACCACACAAAAAGCAAAGCGUCCCGGGAAGCGGCCAGAGAUUUGGUGGGAAAAGAACACCUUAAAUGCCCUCUGCCUUGUGAGCGAAAAGGGAAGGGAGGAGAAACUUUCCGAAGGCCUAUUAAACCGAUGCCCAGUCUCCUCAAAACUAAAAUGCUU